UCCACUACCAACAACAAGUUCGAAGCGCGACACAUCGAAGUAUCAAGUUACCUGAUACCUCGUCACUGAACCAAGAAUUCACAACCAUUACUAUCGAACCAGUCGACAUUCGAAAUCAGAAUGACCCUGAACCGACUCACAGGAAGUCCUAAAACUUUCAACAUCCGAAAGCUGCUAGCGACACGAAGCCGCGAACAUGUCCAGCUGGUGAAUCAGCUCUAAUACCAAAUGUAACGACCUAGCCUACUAGCAACAAUAACUCGUUGGACCCAACCACCGGCCCAAAAUGCUUAAGCCCAGUUAUUAUUACUAGUGUCUAAGUCUCUUAUAAACCCAAUGACAACCCCUUUCCCAUCCGAUGUGGGACUAUU
rnacentral:lncRNA from 1 species